AUUAGAAAGCCAGGGACCCAGGGAGCGGGUGGGUGGCAUGGUGGGACACCUUGGUUGGUGCUGUCUUCCCUGGGCCCUGUCUGUUAAGUGAGGAGAGGUGAUGGCUAUCUGGUCAGUGGGUGGUAGCUAGGUUGGCCCAGACAGGUUCCAGGAGACUUGAGUUCAGGAACUGCAUCUGGGGCUGGGUUGGUGUCCGUGGCAGAAGCCUGGACUUCAGGCUGUUGCCAUGGGAAGUUCCCUUACCUCACGCUCCCUGAGGAUGCCUGAAGGUAGGUGGGGCUGGGAAACUGAGGCACAAGAGUCUGGCCAUAGAGUAGGCCUGGAGCCUGGGGUGUGCUUUAGAGGCAGAGGGUUCAGUGAGGAUGGGGCUAGGGCACAUCGGCUUGCUGCUCUCACAUCUCCCUGUGGCCUCUCCUUGGCA
rnacentral:lncRNA from 1 species